UACGUAGGCAGCAAGCGUUGUUCGGAGUUACUGGGCGUAAAGGGUGCGUAGGCGGUCCUAUAAGUAUGGUGUGAAAUCUCCCGGCUUAACUGGGAGGGUGCGCUAUAGACUGUGGGACUAGAGUGUGGGAGAGGUGAGUGGAAUUCCUGGUGUAGCGGUGAAAUGCGUAGAUAUCAGGAGGAACACCUGUGGCGAAAGCGGCUCACUGGACCAUAACUGACGCUGAUGCACGAAAGCUAGGGGAGCAAACAGG
rnacentral:rRNA from 1 species